rnacentral:snRNA from 1 species
CAGUGGUGCAGCUCUUUUAGAAUUUGUCUAGCAGGUUUUCCAGUUCUCACCGGAAGAUUCCC